CUAUGGCCAUAUACCACCCUGAACAUGCCUGCUCUCGUCUGAGUUCAGAAGCUAAGCAGGGUCGGGCCUGGUUAGUACUUGGAUGGGAAAAUUACAUAAAUUAGUUUUAUUUUCGU
rfam:Nomascus leucogenys chromosome 7b, whole genome shotgun sequence.